GGGCCCUUAGCUCAUUUGGUAGAGCGCUUCCAUGGCAUGGAAGAGGCGAGGGGUUCGAGCCCCCUAGGGUCCA
rnacentral:tRNA from 1 species